rnacentral:rRNA from 1 species
GACGAACGCUGGCGGCGUGCUUAACACAUGCAAGUCGAACGAAGAGCGAUGGAAGCUUGCUUCUAUCAAUCUUAGUGGCGAACGGGUGAGUGACGCGUAAUCGACCUGCCCUUCAGAGGGGGACAACAGUUGGAAACGACUGCUAAUACCGCAUACGAUCUAAUCUCGGCAUCGAGGAUAGAUGAAAGGUGGCCUCUACAUGUAAGCUAUCACUGAAGGAGGGGAUUGCGUCUGAUUAGCUAGUUGGAGGGGUAACGGCCCACCAAGGCGAUGAUCAGUAGCCGGUCUGAGAGGAUGAACGGCCACAUUGGGACUGAGACACGGCCCAGACUCCUACGGGAGGCAGCAGUGGGGAAUCUUCCGCAAUGGACGAAAGUCUGACGGAGCAACGCCGCGUGAGUGAUGACGGCCGUCGGGUUGUAAAGCUCUGUUAAUCGGGACGAAAGGCCUUCUUGCGAAUAGUGAGAAGGAUUGACGGUACCGGAAGAGAAAGCCACGGCUAACUACGUG